rnacentral:misc_RNA from 1 species
GGAGGGAUCAUUAAGAUUUUCUUUCAUCAAACAAAGAAAUGCGUGGUUUAUACCGAUCACACAAACUUUCUUAAAGCUUUACAAUUACAAGUAAGACUUUAGAACCAUUAGAACAAACAACAAACAAACAAAAAAACUACAACACGACUCGCAACAACGGAUAUCUUGGUUCUCGCAACGAUGAAGAACGCAGCGAAAUGCGAUACGUAAUGCGAAUUGCAGAAUCCAGUGAAUCAUCAAAUGUUUGAACGCAUAUGGCGCCUUUCCGCGUAGGAACGGCACGUCUUUAUGAGCGGCGUUUUAACCCAUGCACCCAUCCUUUCGGGGAUUGCGGAGCGAGAUGCGGAUGUUGUCUUGUCAUAAGACAACUUCUGUGAAAUCCAGAGGGCUCUUUUCCUGUUGAAGUGAAAUCUUCAAGGAUUGCCACACCCGGCUCCAACGGAUACUGCCUCUUGUAGGCUUUCCAGUUGGAUACACAGCUGACUUGUGAAGCUUCCCUUGUUUCGUCAACAAACUAUGAAAAACCCCAUCAACAACCAUCGUUUCCCUUUGUGGAAACGCACUUAACUUAAAGCCCUCAUAUAAAACGAGAGAACCCGCUGAACUUAAGCAUAUUAUUAAGCGGAGGAAAAGAAACUAACAAGGAUUCCCUCAGUAACGGCGAGUGAAGCGGGAAGAGCUCAAGUCGAAAAUCCUUGCUCCACGCGGGGUAAGGAAUUGUGGCCUCGAGACCCUUUGUCAUGGCGCAGCAAUGCAUCUCCAGAGAUAAGUCCCCUGGAACAGGGCAUCAGAGAGGGUGAGAAUCCCGUUCAUUCUCUGGAGGGAGACCAGUACGACGGGGGUUCCCAGAGUCGCGUUGCUUGGGAGUGCAGCGCAAAGUGGGUCGUACACGUGAUCCAAAGCUAAAUACUGGCGAGAGACCGAUAGUGGACAAGUACCGUGAGGGAAAGAUGAAAAGCACCUGGAAACGGGAGUGAAAAAGAGCUUGAAAUUGUUGCGAGGUAAGCACUGGUGAAGGUUUAUUUGCGACGUUCGUGUUUUGGAGGGGGCUGAUGUCUCGUUCGCAUUGCCGAGCACCGUCAAGGGGCCGGCAGGUGGGCGAGCGCAGGAGGUCCUAGAGAUCACACGGGCGGAGCCGUCUGCAUUGUUUUGGUUCAAUCCAAGGUUUUAGAAGGUCGGAGAGAAGGUGGCGAGGCCGGGACGACAAGUCCAUGUGCUCUCGAGUUCUAUAGCUCUCCGAUUCGACAUUCAACCGACCGGAACAAUCCUUUGAAGGGCGCGAGAAGAGAGGAAGGGGUGCGGGGUGUGUUACGAGCGGAUGUUUGGGAGGACAAUGUCCUGCCGGGCGCCGUCUUGUUGCUCUCGCUUCGUCCCCAAGGCCAAUCAGCUCGCCGUCAACAAACCCGCGGACGUAAGUGUUCUCGUCGGCUCGUCCGACGAGGAAAAAAGCCCACCAAUGACCCGUCUUGAAACACGGACCAAGGAGUCCAACGUGUGUGCGAGUAUUUGCCUGGUUCAAGGGCGGAUGCGCAGUGAAAGCAAAGGAAGGGCUUGUCUCUUCUGAGGUGUGAAGGUGGAAUCGUGUAAAAAGCGACCCAUCCGCAACAUCGGCCGGCCCCGGUGUCUUUGGGGACUGAGCACGAGCACCCAUGUUGGGACCCGAAAGAUGGUGAUCUAUGCCUGAGCAGGGCGAAGCCAGGGGAAACUCUGGUGGAGGCUCGCAGCGAUACUGACGUGCAAAUCGUUCGUCGGAUUUGGGUAUAGGGGCGAAAGACUAAUCGAACCAUCUAGUAGCUGGUUCCCUC